UUAGAAAUUUUCUUUUUCAGUCAGUUGGUUGACAUAUGGCAUAUUAUAAAUAUACAUAAAUAAAACCAUGUUAAUUCACGUAGUAGUGCAAAUUCUCCUAUUAUUCCUUUCCGUUUGCAUCGGCGAAGUUGAAAAGUUGAACUUCAUCGUCGUGAUCACGUCCGCCAAGUCGGACUGCAACGCUCUGAUCCGUACGAGCGUCGUACUACAUACGCUCUGCAGCUGCGUCACAGUGCCGAAGGGCGACAGCAUCGUCCCAGUCCCCCUGGACUCGAUUAAAGUAGUGACAGGAGUCGGAGUGAAGCUGGUAUCGCGCAUCAUAGCGCAUCCAAAGUGCAAGAUUUCCGACGGCAUCUACGUCUACAACUCCGCCCUUAUAUUCCUUCAGAGCCAGAUCGACCUGAUGGUCGCCCACGAGCCGGUGCGCGAGCCCGCCUUCUCUCGGAGGGAAUUCGACUCAGCCAUGAAGCUGAGGUUGCCUUGCAGCGUGUUCGGCACGGUCAGAACGGCGUGCGAGCCGGCGUUCCUGUCCGACUGCGUCAACGUCGACGAAUGCACGGAUCCGAUCUGUAUCGCCUACCUGAAACACAUGACGUUCUGCAUGAAACCGGAGAACCUGAGCAAGCCCGCGAUCCCAGGGGCUCCAUUGGUCUGCAGCAGCGGUCUGGUCUGGGGUGUGAAACUAUCCGAUCACCUUAACUUCACUCUCUUCAUGAAGACCACGGUCUUCGACGAACUUGAAAAAUCCUGCUCGCCUCCGGCAAUCCGAAUUGGGUCAUACCUCCUAUUAGUCCUUGCGUCCAAAUCUAUCGAAUCCCUGUUAUAUUUAAGGCAAUAAAUAUAUAAACAAAGUCUUGACGUUUCCUUCGGUCUCUUGUUUAAGACCAUUGCCGACAUUCCAACACAUAUGGUCGUUGAAAAACAAAAUUGACUCAGUUGUCGUUCGUUUUUCAAUUGUCUUUCGUCGGUAAAGUAAAAAUCUCAACCUUUGUUACCUGUGACGGCUGAGUUUCGCGUUCCAGGCAUGGAUCGGGCUCCCAGGCCCGAGCCUCCGGGGAGGAGGGCGGAUCUUCACCGGACGGUCCUCAGGCGUAUCAAGUGCGAGAUAAAAUCGUGCAAGAGCUUCUGCGACAGGCGGCUGAAGCGUCGCGUCCUCCCGGCCCAGCAUGACGAGGAGACGAGGUUCGGCAUCAGGCUGUCGAGCAAGUUCACGUGCUUGGACCUGUCACGACUGGAGUUCGUCGCACCGAUCCAGAGGUUCAAGUACGCUGAGUUGACCGUGGCCGUCCUUUCGGGACGAGCGGGGGCGGCCAAGAGGUUUCUCCGCCGGCUCACGAGGCGGAUCAAGGAGUGCAAGUCCGUCUACGACCGGCUCCGAGGCCGGGUCGCACCCAAGGAGCGGAUCUCUGUCUCCGAGAAGGUCCGCGAGCCAUGCUGGUGCUACUCGGGCCGGUUGGACCUGGCCGGGAGCGGACACGGAGACGAAGCUCUCAUAGGGCUCAGGACGUGCUCCGCCUUUCAGAUCAAGGAGGAACCCGCCCGAUAACCAUCCACCUUUCCCCUUCACGUUUGAAUGAAAUCCUAUCGUUUAUUACAAUAAAUUGACUGUUGAGAUUAUGGA
rnacentral:misc_RNA from 1 species